rnacentral:misc_RNA from 1 species
AAGUCGUAACAAGGUUUCCGUAGGUGAACCUGCGGAAGGAUCAUCAAUAGUCUCAAGUCUUGUCCGGAAUACGCGCAAGUGUUUCCGGCUUGACAAAUACCUUCUUGUGCACUGUUUGUUGGUUAUGACUGACUGGGGGAGUUGUUGAGAUGUGCUUCUGUGCAUCUUGCGCCCCCAGCCGGUUGUUUGUUUAUUACAAACGCUAUUAACAUAAAUGUCUUUAGAAACUAGUUGUGAAAAAUUGUAAAUAUACAUACAACUUACAGCGAUGGAUCUCUAGGCUCUGGUGUCGAUGAAAACGCAGC